GUUUCACUUUACAGUGCAGGAAGGAAUUGAUGCCUUAGAGGAAGUCAUAUAUCAUGUUGAAACAUAUGAUGUGACCACUAUCAGAGCCAGUACACCAAUGUUUCUCAUGUCUCGGAAGAUAAAGUCAUUGGGUGUGAAAAUGGUUUUAUCAGGUGAAGGUUCUGAUGAAAUUUUUGGUGGUUAUUUAUAUUUCCACAAGGCACCCAACAAAGAGGAGUUUCACCAAGAAACUUGUAGAAAGAUUAAAGCACUUCAUCUUUAUGAUUG
rnacentral:misc_RNA from 1 species